GAUGACGUGAUCUAUUUAAUUUAAUUUAUUAUUUAUUGUUAAUAAAAAAAUAUACUCAUUUAAAUGUUUUCAAUGUAUUUAUUACUAUACUCAUUUCUUUAUACCUACAAUGUAUUUAUUAUUAUUCUCACAGGCUUUUUUUCAGGUACCUAUAAUUUCUGUCAAGGAUGUUAGAUUGCCGAAGUGAGUUACAAGUGGAGACAUUAUGAUGAUGGAACACCCCUGUGGCUGCAAUACUUAUAUUAAACUCAAUAAUCAAUGGGUGUAAUAAUAAAGAAGCGUAUAAGUGUUUGGUACAUGAGUACAUGAGCUUCCUCUGAGGGAGAGCAACCAUAUGACGGAGGAGCUUCUCUGAGGCUAAUAGCAGUGGUGACUGGAGUUUUAUCCCAGCUCAUUCAUUUUUCUGUCUCCACCAACAAUCUUACUUUGAUUCCAAAACAUCUUUCCACAAUCCGAUUUUCUUUUUUUUUCAACCUCCUCUUCCAUCUUCCUAAUAAGACUAAAUUAAAUGUUUGAAUCUAAUAACAUGGUAUGCAAAAUGGUCUCUCAAGAGAUGAUUUUACAGGUUCAUGGAGAAUUCCAUGACAGCAAGAAAAC
rnacentral:lncRNA from 1 species